rnacentral:sRNA from 1 species
CUCGUCGACCUGCUGGGGACAGAUGAAGUGGAUGUGAGUGUCGAAGCCGCCCGCGGUGACGAUUUUGUUCUCGCCGGCGAUGACGUCGGUAGAGGAUCCGACCACCAUGUCAGGGUGCACGCCGUCCAUAAUAUCAGGGUUUCCAGCCUUUCCGAUGCCCACGAUGACACCGUUGCGGAUGCCGAUAUCCGCCUUGUAGAUUCCCGUCCAGUCGAUGAUCAACGCGUUCGUGACCACGGUAUCCAGGCAGUCCUUGGACGACCGUCCGGACGCUUGCGCCAUGCCAUCACGGAG